rnacentral:lncRNA from 1 species
AAGCGUGGUGGAAGUCAAAUAUCAGUCGUAAACACAUAAUGUAGGACAGGAGGAAUUGGAUGUAUACAGAGAUUUCGAACUAUCAGACGCCGAGAGAUUCAAUUACCAAGUGGUCAGAGGAAAGUUCGAUAAGAAAAAGAGAGACUGAAACUUGGGAUGACAUCUAAUCGCGGAUUAGGGGAAUGUCUGCCAAUUGCGAAUUGGCGUCUCAGCGAAAGAAAAAAUUGAGGGACAAAUUAGUAUUCUCUAUACCGGACUCUCAAGAAGAUUGAAAGAAAACACUGCUGU